rnacentral:piRNA from 1 species
CUGCUGAUUAGGAGCGUUGAACUCCCUGGGG